rnacentral:tRNA from 1 species
UAGCUCAGCGGUAUAAGCACCUGCCUUGAAAGCAGGCGGUCCUGGGUUCGAUCUCCGG